rnacentral:rRNA from 1 species
AACGAACGCUGGCGGCAUGCCUAACACAUGCAAGUCGAACGAGACCUUCGGGUCUAGUGGCGCACGGGUGCGUAACGCGUGGGAAUCUGCCCUUGGGUUCGGCAUAACUCAGAGAAAUUUUAGCUAAUACCGGAUGAUGACGUAAGUCCGAAGAUUUAUCGCCCAAGGAUGAGCCCGCGUAAGAUUAGCUUGUUGGUGAGGUAAAAGCUCACCAAGGCGACGAUCUUUAGCUGGUCUGAGAGGAUGAUCAGCCACACUGGGACUGAGACACGGCCCAGACUCCUACGGGAGGCAGCAGUGGGGAAUAUUGGACAAUGGGCGAAAGCCUGAUCCAGCAAUGCCGCGUGAGUGAUGAAGGCCUUAGGGUUGUAAAGCUCUUUUACCCGGGAUGAUAAUGACAGUACCGGGAGAAUAAGCCCCGGCUAACUCCGUGCCAGCCGCCGCAGUAA